CAGGAUGAACGCUGGCGGCGUGCUUAACACAUGCAAGUCGAGCGAAGCGGAUCUUCGGAAGUUUUCGGAUGGAAGAGGAUUUGACUUAGCGGCGGACGGGUGAGUAACGCGUGGGUAACCUGCCUUACACUGGGGGAUAACAGUUAGAAAUGACUGCUAAUACCGCAUAAGCGCACAGGGCCGCAUGGCCCGGUGUGAAAAACUCCGGUGGUGUAAGAUGGACCCGCGUCUGAUUAGGUAGUUGGCGGGGUAACGGCCCACCAAGCCGACGAUCAGUAGCCGACCUGAGAGGGCGACCGGCCACAUUGGGACUGAGACACGGCCCAAACUCCUACGGGAGGCAGCAGUGGGGAAUAUUGGACAAUGGGCGAAAGCCUGAUCCAGCGACGCCGCGUGAGCGAAGAAGUAUUUCGGUAUGUAAAGCUCUAUCAGCAGGGAAGAAAAUGACGGUACCUGACUAAGAAGCCCCGGCUAACUACGUGCCAGCAGCCGCGGUAAUACGUAGGGGGCAAGCGUUAUCCGGAUUUACUGGGUGUAAAGGGAGCGUAGACGGUUAAGCAAGUCUGAA
rnacentral:rRNA from 1 species